CUCCGUUCUCCACUGUACUUUGAGAAAGAUUUGCAAAGCUCCAACUCAGAAAUCAAAUUUGUUUGUUAUUCUUCAUCUUUACGUCAAUGUUUGAAGUUACAGGAGAAGACCAGUGUUCUUCAUAUUCUGCUGGAUUUAGAGCGAGAUGAACCACGACUGCUUCCAUUUGAAUGAUCUCUCUUUAACAAGGCUUCCAGAUUUUGGAAACAUUUCAAUGGCCUAACCUGCA
rnacentral:sRNA from 1 species